GAUGAACGCUGGCGGCGUGCCUAAUACAUGUAAGUCGAGCGAAUGGAUUAAGAGCUUGCUCUUAUGAAGUUAGCGGCGGACGGGUGAGUAACACGUGGGUAACCUGCCCAUAAGACUGGGAUAACUCCGGGAAACCGGGGCUAAUACCGGAUAACAUUUUGAACCGCAUGGUUCGAAAUUGAAAGGCGGCUUCGGCUGUCACUUAUGGAUGGACCCGCGUCGCAUUAGCUAGUUGGUGAGGUAACGGCUCACCAAGGCAACGAUGCGUAGCCGAACUGAGAGGGUGAUCGGCCACACUGGGACUGGGACACGGCCCAGACUCCUACGGGAGGCAGCAGUAGGGAAUCUUCCGCAAUGGACGAAAGUCUGACGGAGCAACGCCGCGUGAGUGAUGAAGGCUUUCGGGUCGUAAAACUCUGUUGUUAGGGAAGAACAAGUGCUAGUUGAAUAAGCUGGCACCUUGACGGUACCUAACCAGAAAGCCACGGCUAACUACGUGCCAGCCACCGCGGUAA
rnacentral:rRNA from 1 species